rnacentral:rRNA from 1 species
UACGAAGGGGGCUAGCGUUGCUCGGAAUCACUGGGCGUAAAGCGCACGUAGGCGGAUCUUUAAGUCAGGGGUGAAAUCCCGGAGCUCAACUCUGGAACUGCCUUUGAUACUGUCGAUCUGGAGUAUGGAAGAGGUGAGUGGAAUUCCGAGUGUAGAGGUGAAAUUCGUAGAUAUUCGGAGGAACACCAGUGGCGAAGGCGGCUCACUGGUCCAUUACUGACGCUGAGGUGCGAAAGCGUGGGGAGCAAACAGG